rnacentral:ncRNA from 1 species
GUUCGGAACGCUCUCGACGGUCCGUGAAAAGCCGAGCUACGCCGUAUAAAUUUGUGCUCGUUCGUACCGAUAUCCGCAGCAGGUCUCCAAGGUGAACAGCCUCUGGCCAAUUGAACAAUGCAGAUAAGGGAAGUCGGCAAAACGGAUCCGUACCUUCGGAACAAGGAUUGGCUCUAAGGGCUGAACCGGUCGGGCUGAUGCUUCGAUGCGUGUCUGGUGCGGUCGCUGGCUGCCGGUUGGAGGAGCGGUCCGUUCGCCCGGCGUUGGGCUCCCGUCGAUUGCUUGAGCGGCUCUGUCGCGUUGGGCGUCGGCGAUUCGGAUGCGCUUCGCCGGAGCGCGGUCCUUCUGAAGCCGCAGACGGUAACGAAGCCUGCACGCGGACGACUUCAGCUGUGUGUGCUUGUCGGUAACUGACAAGCCGCUUCGUCCGGCAUUGAACAGCCGACUUAGAACUGGCACGGACCCGAGGAAUCGGACUGUAUAAUUAAAACAAAGCAUUGCGACGGCUGGUGAUCGGUGAUGACGCAAUGUGAUUUCUGCCCAGUGCUCUGAAUGUCAAAGUGAAGAAAUUCAACCAAGCGCGGGUAAACGGCGGGAGUAACUAUGACUCUCUUUGUCCCGAGAGGCUCCUACCCGAGUUCUAGUUCGCUAGCCUCGGGAGUCCUCAAAAGGCGGUGCAGGCUGGAAUUCGUUCCAGUGCCUCGUUUGGCUCUGCUGCCUUUGCCGCCCAUAUCCUACGCCACCUUCCUGUGGUCGGGACGUAAGUACCUGUUGCUCCGGUUUCGGGCAACGGGGAAACUAACGGUGUAGGGUUGGCCUUGAUGUCGCGUUUUGUUUCAUCAAGACGACAUGCGUUGUUAUAAAUGUUCCACGAACCCUCUUGCUGGUCAGAUAUGGCUGCAACUAGGGUCUCUGUGGAGCAUUCAUAUCAAUACUAGCUGUAAAGUUGUGAAGGUCGGGACUACCUUCCGUAUGGGCGUUGCCUAUAUCAGUUGCGUUGUCCUUGUCUUCGGCUUGUAAUUCGGCUAUGUAUUGAAGCAGAUCCCCUCGUCGGUCAGAUAUGGCUAUGAUUGGGAUCUUGCUGCCGCAUCGCAUGCUUGUCCGGUUUCACUUAUUCUGUUUAGCUUAAGUGAACAGAGUUGUGCAGGUCGUGCGCUGCUUGUGGUAGGUGUUCUGCCUUCCAUGAGCGUAUUACCCUCCUUCACUUAUGCUUGCUCCAUUUGGUCAUGUGCAGCUGCGCUCCCAUCGCUGGGUCAGAUAUGACUGCGGUUGGGAUGUCGCCGCUGCACAACUUCGCCAUAUGUUGUGAAGUUGUGAAGGUCGGGAUUGGUGCGCGAAUGGAUUGUGAAUUUAGUCCGUAGUUAGUACGGUCUAAUUGCGCUGAUUUUCUCGUCUGGUGGACGCGUGACUAUCAUGGCCGAGACUCAGCACAGUUGCCACAAUUGUGGCGGUCUCCUCCUUCUGGUAGAAAAGACUGUGCACCUAUGCCUUACUGAGAUCGGAAGAGCGUCGUGUAGGGAAAGAGUGUAGAUC